rnacentral:rRNA from 1 species
GUGAUGACGGCCUUCGGGUUGUAAAGCUCUGUUAAUCGGGACGAAAGGCCUUCUUGCGAAUAGUGAGAAGGAUUGACGGUACCGGAAUAGAAAGCCACGGCUAACUACGUGCCAGCAGCCGCGGUAAUACGUAGGUGGCAAGCGUUGUCCGGAAUUAUUGGGCGUAAAGCGCGCGCAGGCGGAUAGGUCAGUCUGUCUUAAAAGUUCGGGGCUUAACCCCGUGAUGGGAUGGAAACUGCCAAUCUAGAGUAUCGGAGAGGAAAGUGGAAUUCCUAGUGUAGCGGUGAAAUGCGUAGAUAUUAGGAAGAACACCGGUGGCGAAGGCGACUUUCUGGACGAAAACUGACGCUGAGGCGCGAAAGCCAGGGGAGCGAACGGGAUUAGAUACCCCGGUAGUCCUGGCCGUAAACGAUGGGUACUAGGUGUAGGAGGUAUCGACCCCUUCUGUGCCGGAGUUAACGCAAUAAGUACCCCGCCUGGGGAGUACGACCGCAAGGUUGAAACUCAAAGGAAUUGACGGGGGCCCGCACAAG